CACGUAGGGGACGAGCGUUGUCCGGAUUUACUGGGCGUAAAGGAUGCGUAGGCGGAUAUUUAAGUGAGAUGUGAAAUACCCGAGCUUAACUUGGGUGCUGCAUUUCAAACUGGAUAUCUAGAGUGUGGGAGAGGAGAAUGGAAUUCCUAGUGUAGCGGUGAAAUGCGUAGAGAUUAGGAAGAACACCAGUGGCGAAGGCGAUUCUCUGGACCAUAACUGACGCUGAGGCAUGAAAGCGUGGGUAGCAAACAGG
rnacentral:rRNA from 1 species